rnacentral:rRNA from 1 species
UACAGAGGAUGCAAGCGUUAUCCGGAAUGAUUGGGCGUAAAGCGUCUGUAGGUGGCUUUUUAAGUCCGCCGUCAAAUCCCAGGGCUCAACCCUGGACAGGCGGUGGAAACUACCAAGCUGGAGUGCGGUAGGGGAGACUGGAAUUCCUGGUGUAGCGGUGAAAUGCGCAGAUAUCAGGAGGAACACCGGUGGCGAAGGCGGGUCUCUGGGCCGUAACUGACGCUGAGGAGCGAAAGCGUGGGGAGCGAACAGG